rnacentral:rRNA from 1 species
UACGGAGGAUCCAAGCGUUAUCCGGAUUUAUUGGGUUUAAAGGGUGCGUAGGCGGCCUAUUAAGUCAGGGGUGAAAGACGUUAGCUCAACUAACGCAGUGCCCUUGAUACUGAAGAGCUUGAAUGGACUAGAGGUAGGCGGAAUGUGACAAGUAGCGGUGAAAUGCAUAGAUAUGUCACAGAACACCGAUUGCGAAGGCAGCUUACUAUGGUUUAAUUGACGCUGAGGCACGAAAGCGUGGGGAUCAAACAGG